AAAAAGAUAAGCUAAGUUAAGCUAAUGGGUUCAUACCCCAUUCAUAGAAAAUCUCUUCUUUUUA
rnacentral:tRNA from 1 species